UACAGAGGUCUCAACCGUUGUUCGGAUUCAUUGGGCGUAAAGGGUGCGUAGGCGGUCGCGUAAGUCAGGUGUGAAAUCCCGGGGCUCAACCCCGGAACUGCACUUGAUACUGCGUGGCUAGGGUACUGGAGAGGAGACUGGAAUUUACGGUGUAGCGGUGAAAUGCGUAGAUAUCGUAAGGAAGACCAGUGGCGAAGGCGAAUCUCUGGACAGUUACUGACACUGAGGCACGAAGGCCAGGGGAGCAAACGGG
rnacentral:rRNA from 1 species